GUAAGGGAAGAAGAGGGAGAAGAAAGACAGGAGAGAGUGAGACAGGAGGCGGGGGAGGAGGCUUCUGUGCGCUGAUUACUAAUGCAAUGCGGUGGAGAGCUCAGCAGGUUCUGUGGGGAAGCAUUUAUUGUGCAGGAGAAAGCAGGCAGCGUGUUCAAAAAGCUGUCUCCCGGCUCUGCAGCCAAGCUGGAGGGGAGGAGAGGGCCCUGCAGGGUUUGGGGGCUGCUCUGCCUCUGAGAUGCAGGACAGUCUGCACCUCCCACUCCAGGGGAAUCUAAUCCACUCAGGCCAAGGGAGGAAAGAGGAGGCGGCCCGAGGCCACACUGUCCAAGGGGGUCGCCAUCCGACUCUGAAGCCUGGAGACCCUGGAGCCCCAGAGUGAGUCUUCCCGAGGCCGUGACCAGAGGGCUGACGUCUGCAUCUGCUGACUUCCACGGGACCUUAUCUUCAGACCGGCCUCUUCGGAGGGGCAGCAUCUACACCGAGAAGGUGAUUUCAUCCCAGGAAUACAGCUGAUCCAAAGACUUGAGCCACAAAGGCUAUGUUUUCUCCUCUGCAGGGCGUCUCAACAUCUGGAUAACUGCUUACCACCUUCUUAUUUUGCAGAACAUUCCCAGCAUAGCAGCCCUUUGUGUCCCUCUGAGCUGCUCUUUUUUGGGGUUAUCCAGGCCCUCUUGUACCCCGACAGUCCACCUCUUCGCUGCCUAUCUGUUCCCUGCCUCUAGCACUGCCCCACUGCCUGUCCCUAGAACACCUACCCUCCAGGGGUUUAUUUCUUAGAUUCCCCAAGAGAGACUCCACUGGUUUUGCAGGUGCGGACUCCAGAACCUGCUGACAGAGAGGGGGUACUCUGGAAGGAAGAGUCCCUCUUUUGAGACUGCAGGUUAUAAUCCCUGAGGGUUUUGGGUUAGGGGAAUUUGCCAUUCAAUCUCUGCUGCCCCUGGUGUCAGGAUGUCAGCAUGUGCGUGGAGGGCUGGAACCGCGCCUUCUUCAGCAUGGAUCAGAGACCGGCCAAGAGCUCUGGCAGCAGAGUCAGCUAGAGGCCAGCUGUGCUCCGGACAGGAUCAGAAGCUGGCUGUCUGUGCUUCCUUCCUUUUGCUCCUCCUCUUCAUCAGAUCCUUCUUUGUCCCUGAAAGCCAGGCCGAUGCCCAGCAGUGCACAUUCUCUUGCCCCUCCGUUCCUCUGAGGUGGCCGCAGUCUGAAGCCCCUCUGGGCCCCCUUGUGCCUGAACUGAGACACACAAGUAGAAAAGGACUCCGCAGACGGCUGCACCCGUGGUGCAAGAGGAGGCCCCGAGGCUGUUUGCUCCAGCACCUGAGCCUGGAAGGGAACACAGAAGGUGGCAGGGACAGCAGAGGGGAGAUACCUGUGUGCAGGUCCACUGGGCGUCGGGAAGGGCAGCACGGGCUGGACUGGGCUGAGGCUGGGGGGGGGCCCCGGCUGUUUUGCCACCGGGUCGGGUCAGUCGGGGUGGGAGGACGAGUGGAAUGUAAACAGGCAUCUUUCCUCCGUCUUUCCCCGUGGUCCCGGCCACGCUGCGGAGACCGAGGGAGGAGACUCUGAGGCUGCCGGAGCCCGGAGACCGUGAAGCGGCUGGCCGCGGCAGAGGCGACCUUGAGACAGAGGAGAACCAGAGUGGAGCGGGAGUCUGUGGGGAAGAGGGAGGGGCGGGAGGAAGGAGGGUGCAGGGAGGGGCCUCUUGUCUGUCUGUCUGUCUG
ensembl:lncRNA